rnacentral:tmRNA from 1 species
GGUUUGAGUAGGUGGCUUCGGUCUUGCUCAUUCACAAAAAUUAAAGCGGAGAUAAGCAUGUAGAAAGCAAAUUAGUUCCUUGUUUGGACGAGGGUUCAAGUCCCUCCAGCUCCACAA